GAUGAACGCUGGCGGCGUGCCUAAUACAUGCAAGUCGAGCGAACAGAUGAGGAGCUUGCUCCUCUGACGUUAGCGGCGGACGGGUGAGUAACACGUGGAUAACCUACCUAUAAGACUGGGAUAACUUCGGGAAACCGGAGCUAAUACCGGAUAAUAUAUUGAACCGCAUGGUUCAAUAGUGAAAGACGGUUUUGCUGUCACUUAUAGAUGGAUCCGCGCCGCAUUAGCUAGUUGGUAAGGUAACGGCUUACCAAGGCGACGAUGCGUAGCCGACCUGAGAGGGUGAUCGGCCACCCUGGAACUGAGACACGGUCCAGACUCCUACGGGAGGCAGCAGUAGGGAAUCUUCCGCAAUGGGCGAAAGCCUGACGGAGCAACGCCGCGUGAGUGAUGAAGGUCUUCGGAUCGUAAAACUCUGUUAUUAGGGAAGAACAAAUGUGUAAGUAACUAUGCACGUCUUGACGGUACCUAAUCAGAAAGCCACGGCUAACUACGUG
rnacentral:rRNA from 1 species